UAGGGAAUUUUGCGCAAUGGACGCAAGUCUGACGCAGCGACGCCGCGUGAGCGAUGAAGGUCUUCGGAUUGUAAAGCUCUGUUGAGUGGGAAGAAAACCUUCGGGGACAAUACCCUCGGAGCUUGACGGUACCACUCGAGGAAGCCCCGGCUAACUACGUGCCAGCAGCCGCGGUAAUACGUAGGGGGCUAGCGUUGUUCGGAAUCACUGGGCGUAAAGGGAGUGUAGGCGGGAAGGUAAGUUAGGAGUUAAAUUCACAGGCUUAACCUGUGGUCUGCUUUUAAUACUGUCUUUCUUGAGUAUGGGAGAGGGUGAUGGAAUUCCAGGUGUAGCGGUGGAAUGCGUAGAUAUCUGGAAGAACACCAGUUGCGAAGGCGGUCACCUGGCCCAAUACUGACGCUGAGGCUCGAAAGCUAGGGGAGCGAACA
rnacentral:rRNA from 1 species